rnacentral:ncRNA from 1 species
UCGAUGGAGAGUUUGAUCCUGGCUCAGGACGAACGCUGGCGGCGUGCUUAACACAUGYAAGUCGAGCGGACCUUCGGGUCAGCGGCGAACGGGUGAGUAACACGUGGGCAACCUGCCCCAGGCUCUGGAAUAACUCCGGGAAACCGGGGCUAAUGCCGGAUAUUCACAGUACCGGGCAUCUGGUGGUGUGGAAAGAUUUAUUGGCUUGGGAUGGGCCCGCGGCCUAUCAGCUUGUUGGUGGGGUAAUGGCCUACCAAGGCGACGACGGGUAGCCGGCCUGAGAGGGCGAUCGGCCACACUGGGACUGAGACACGGCCCAGACUCCUACGGGAGGCAGCAG